GUUUGUCCCACAUUCCAAAUUACGUCGCAAACGGUGACUCUGUGUGUGGGACCCACGCGAAUGCGCGCUGUUUCGGCGUUUCCUUCAACCUCACAACACGUUGCGCAGAACGACACCGUUUUGGAACGACGUAAUCCAUAUCCAUCAACCUACCUGAAUCGCUUCAACGAAGGGUCUUUGAAGUUCGAAGGAAAUGAAUGUAAAGCGCAUCGGAUCAACGUCGUUUCGAGACUAUUUCCGAGGACACAGAUCUCUUGAAACUGCUCAAUUUCUCUUCAGGUUCUGAAUCAACUUCAUAGACUCAGCAUGGUAAUUUUAGCUGCUGCAACGAGUUUGAAGCGUCUACUUUUUGUAUCUUUCGACUGAUCAGAUUUCUAGUGAUUCCAAUCCAUCAUAUCUGUUUGAUAGCUUCUUCCUGUACAAUGGCGAGGUAGUCGAUCGAUUACUAAUUUGCGCUCUUGUUUUAUCAUGGAAAUUAGAUCAAACUAUUCAGGUAAUGUUUUUCUCUGAGAUUUCCUAGGCACGUUUGGAACAUACAAAAUUUGAUCGGUGCAUUGACAAUUAAGGAGUAGACAUCAUGUCAGGGAAGAGAGUUUCGCCGAAAUUAGGGAUCUUGUCGUUGUGGUGUGGGAGGCUUCAUUGCUUUAUGCAUGAGUAGGACCGAUUCUUGUGUUUCAGUGGCCAUAGUUUUCUUUCAUUAUCAUCUUAUUUCAUAAAUAGGAUGAAAAGAUUACAAAAGUAUAUACCUUUAGAAGUAUUUAUAUCUUCUUGUUUAAAUUUAUGAAGGAUCUUAAUUGCAGUAUUAACUAUGGUAUGGGGGUUAGGCUUUCUUUUAUGACACCAUUCUGGAAAUUGAUGGAAUCUAAUGAUUCCUGGUGGUUUACAAGGUCUUCCUUAGGUUAGUAGAUUUGCUAAUUUGAAUCAGUCAUAGUGUCCAUGUUACUGUAAUUUGAAUUGCUAUUAUAUGAAUUUUCAUUCUCACGUUUCUUUUAAUUUUGCAUCUGAUGGGUUAAGGCACAUCAUCAUUGACCACAGGCCAUAGCUGAUCAGGUCCUGUAUUAUUGGAUGCGUUUAGGAAUACCCUUCCACCUUUGAUGCUUUUUGCUGCAAAAAUGCAAUUUGACUACUAUUUGUUUUACUUAAGGUUUCAUUGUUACGUUGCAGGAAUGCAUCGAAGACAUUGAUAGUAUCUGUUAAAGGGAAAGCCAAACGAAAUUCAUGACAGAUUAAUUUUGUAACAUUUUACUUGUAGUAUUUUACAGGUUGCAUGCAGAGUGAAGAAUUGAUAUUGAUGUGCCUGACAAUUGAUAAACUGAGAGGCUCCCUGUAUUCAAAAUCGUCAUUGAGUACAAAACUCGCACAUGUGGCAACAGUCAGGAAGAGUAAUAAAUGAAUGACAGAAAAUGCAUGAGUAAGAAGAAAAUCGUAUUGGCAAUUUGCUGCUGUUGGAUCCUACAAGUGCAUGCAUAAGCUGUCCACGCAUUCAUCUCUCCAAUAUUAGAGCUUCACGAGAUCAUCAGAGCUUAAAGAUAAUGUUUUCUGUGCAACAGAUUAUCUCCAACAUGCAGUAUUUCCUGUGCUCUUAUCCCCUUUCUAUUAAUUGUCCAUGCUGCAAAAACGGCUGUUCUUCAUCUGUAAGCAAAGCACAGUGAAAAAUUACACAAUUAUUUGUGAUUGUGAUAUACAUACAACACAUUUCUGCUUAAUCCUUAAAACAUUA